rnacentral:rRNA from 1 species
UACGGAGGGUGCGAGCGUUGUCCGGAAUCACUGGGCGUAAAGGGCGCGUAGGCGGCGCAGGAAGUCAACGGUGAAAGUUCGGGGCUCAACCCUGAAUCGGCCGUCGAUACUCCUGGGCUCGAGCACUGUAGAGGCAGAUGGAAUUCCGGGUGUAGCGGUGGAAUGCGUAGAGAUCCGGAAGAACACCGGUGGCGAAGGCGGUCUGCUGGGCAGUGGCUGACGCUGAGGCGCGACAGCGUGGGGAGCAAACAGG